rnacentral:misc_RNA from 1 species
AUGAAGUUUUGUUAUAAGCGGGAAUAUACCUGGGUGUUCAGGUGUCCUCGGGCAGUGAACGGUGUGUAUCGAAAACUUUCACAUUGGAAUAAUAUUUAUUUAUAUCAAAAAGUGGUAAAAAGUCACGAAAAGCAGACUAAAUAGCGGCGAAGCGGGGAGAUGCGUUUAAUAUGACAACAGUACUAUGUUAUUUAGAGACUACACCUGGCUGAAUCAGGUGUUUUGACGGAAGAGCACCAAACUACCCCGAUUUAUAAGUGUACUACCGGUAUAGUGGCCGUAGGAGGAAAAUGUUGCUACCCAUCCCCCGUUACAAGGUUCCGUGAAUGACCAUGAGGAUCCAACUUGUAUGUUUGACUGUUUUAACUUUUUGGCUUUCUGGACUCGACGGUCGAAAAGUCGUAAAAGAGGUAAAAUUUAAAAAGUCCCCAGAGAAUGCCACUGUUGAGGAGGACCAGAGACAUCUCUUUCAUUGCAACACGGAGAGAAUCAAAGGCUGCACAAGGAACCAGAUGAAAAUCAAGUGGUUUCAUAAUGGCAUCAAAUUAACCAAAAGAGGCACUAAUUUCAAAAUCAAAAAGCAUGGAACUACUCUUCUCUUUGACAACAUUAAAGUGGAGAAUCGUGGAGAAUACUAUUGCUCAGUCAGCUGUAAAUCUAAAAAGUUCAUCGCCAGGGGAGCAUCACCUAAAGCGUACCUGCAGGUGGAAGUUCCUGUUCGGUUCGUGGAGAAACCAAUUGAUCGACACGUUACACCAGGAAAUCUACAGAUCACAUGCUCUGCGUUUGGAAUCCCUGCUCCAAAGCUAACAUGGCUGGAUAUCAAUGACACUGAGAUCACGAUACAGUGACCCAAGGAGUGGAAAUUAUCACUAUAGAUAAUAAUUCGAUGACAAAGAAAUCUAAUAUCAUCUUUACAAAUGUGGUCACUAACAUGAGUGUCAAGUGUCAAGCGCAGAACCACCUGAGCAGUGGCUAUAGGUUCAAAACCCAGCAAGCCAAGGUGGUGGUGGUAUCAAAAAAGGACCAAGUCAGUCAGCCACCAGUUCGGCUUCAAGGGACAUGUGCCCCUUACAAUGGAACUGUCUGUAAGCAGGUUCUUGGAAAUGAAGUCAUCCUCUUGAAUGCCUCCUACGGGAACCCUGGCCUAGAACAGGAUUCCCAGGUGAAUGAGCUGAUGCAGGGGGUUCUGUCCUCAAUGGUCCGAAAGCCAAACUGUCAGGCCGCCGCCCUCAAAGUCUUCUGUCGUCAUGUGUUUCCAGGAUGUACUGAGGAGACGGGGAAAGCGAAGCCCAUCCACCUGUGCAAGGAGAGCUGUCUGGCCGUGAAGGAAUUGCUGUGCUUUGACCAGUGGAAUGAAUUGAGUUUGAAAAGAAAAAUAGCUGGUGCUUCUCUUCCCGACUGCAACAAUCUAGCCAGCAAAACUGAUAAUGGAUCACAGUGCAUAGAUGGCAGAAUAUUUCAUAAAGAUACAAGUCAAGUUACCUAUCAGUGUUACAAAGGAACGGGCCAGUGGUACAAUGGCACGGUCAAUGUCACAAAGUCGGGGAUUCCCUGCCAGGCCUGGGACCGUCAGUACCCCCAUGCUCACCAGCGCCUCCCUUCAGUAUUUCCCAGUCUGCAGGGGGGAGAGAACUACUGCAGGAACCCUGGGUCUGAGGAAAACCAGCCAUGGUGCUACACAACAGAUAAUCUGAAGAGAUGGGAACUGUGUGACAUACCUAAAUGUUAUGUGGAAGUUUCCACGGAGAUGCCUGUAAACCAGAACCUUACAGUUGCCAUCAUCAUUAUCAUCAUUGUUGUUGCCUUGGUUGUCUUUGUGUCGAUUCUGAUGGCUGUGCUCUGUUGUCAGAUCUCCAAACAACGCAGACAUGUUAAGUACGACAGCACUCCUCAGGAAGACCUGGACAUUGAUAUUGAUAAACUCCCCACCAACUCUUGUUACCACAAACUCUCGGAAUGUUCCAAAAUCAACCCUAAACUCCAGGUUAUGGAAUAUCCCAGGAAUGAUAUUGUGUACAUCAGAGACAUUGGUCAGGGAGCUUUUGGAAGAGUGUUCAAAGCAAAAGCUCCCAACAUUAUUAAAGAUGAAUAUGAUUGCCUAAUAGCAGUCAAAAUGUUAAAGGAAGAUGCUUCUGAUGAACUGUUACAAGACUUUCAGCGAGAAGCUUCCUUAAUGGUAGAGUUUGAUCACCCAAACAUUGUGAAAUUGUUGGGAGUCUGUGCAAUAGGUAAUCCUUUGUGUUUACUGUUUGAGUACAUGAAGAAGGGAGACUUGAAUGAAUUUCUUCGUCUGAACAGUUGUGACAAUUACAUUAUAAGGCGACACAGCAUGGAUAUCUAUUCUGAGCAUAAGCCCUCAUUAAACACUUCAAAUCAGCUUUACAUUGCAAAGCAGAUUGCAUGUGGAAUGGUGUAUUUGUCUGAAAAAGGCUAUGUACAUCGGGACUUGGCCACCAGAAAUUGUCUUGUGGGUGAUGACCUCGAGGUCAAGAUUUCUGACUUUGGACUGGCAAGGAGCAUUCAUUCACUGGAAUAUUAUCGCGGAAGUGAACAUGAUGCAAUACCGAUCCGAUGGAUGCCUCCUGAAUCCAUUCUGUACAACAAAUUCACUGUACAAUCGGAUGUGUGGUCCUUCGGUGUUUUACUUUGGGAGCUGUUCUCCUUUGCUCUUCAGCCUUACUAUGGCAUGACACAUGAAGAAGUAGUUCAGUUUGUGAAAGAUGGGAAAGUGCUUGCCUGCCCAGAAAACACACCUAAGCAAGUGUAUGACUUGAUGAAAAUGUGUUGGAACACAAAGCCAACUUCAAGACCAUUAUUCCACCAUCUGCUCAAAUCUUUAAACUCUUCAUAUGAUGAUUACCAAAAGAAGAAAGUGCUGAGUGAACUUGUGUAGCAUUUACAGAAAGUAUUGGUGACAAUUGUUCAAUGAUGUGAAAAUAGGCAGCAUUUUUCCUUCCAUAAUGAACAGUUUAGUGAAAUGCAUCUGAAUACAAUAAACAAUUACCUAUACUGCCAAAGUCUCAUCUCUCAGCAAACACAAGUAGAGGUGGGAGAAGAUGUCUCUCUAUGGUUCCUGUGUAGUGCAUGAGUUGAUAUAAGGGGCCAAUACUCUUGUGUUUCCCAUACAUAUUAUAAAAGUCCCAUAGACUCAUAUGAGCCAUAAUUUAAACUGUGCCAACUAUUUAGUAUUAUUUCAAUGAUACAACUAUGUAUUUGCCAGGAAUUGGAAUCAGAACUCUAACCAAGUUUUCUGUUAGACAUUUAAAAAACCAGUUCAGGAAGUUUUCAGUUGUGAUACACUCCUGCAGUGUAUUUCUGUGUGUUAUCAAUGUUCUAUAUUUCCUAUACUUUUUUCUACAGAUUUGUAUUAAGAUAUAAGAAGUGAUGGCUGCUCCUAAUGUAUUGCAGUCUGCUCAGGUCUCCUUUAUCUCAGAAAUGGGGGCUUUAUCUCGCCAACUAUUCCCCUGACGAUAGGAUGGAUUUUGGAUUGACUCUUAUCUGAUUAUGAAUUCUUGCAGCAGCCAGGGUUAAACCUGAUCUAAAUUCUGAUAAGAUGUAAUAAGGCAAUUUCUUAAUAUCUGCCAUUAAUUUUGGACUUAUCUUUGAAGUAUCUUAUGUUUGGGGUUAAAGUUUUCAGUUUGGGUGAAAAAUUACAGUAGCUGUAAAUCAGCCUCACUUUACACCUGUACAUAUACAUAUAUUGGCAUGCAAUAUUUUUGUUUUUGUUUCGAUCAUCAUUUGAACUAGUCAUUUUGUUGGGUAUGCAUGUGUAUUUGGGAGGGAGACUGAAUACCUUGUACAAGAAGAUACAUCAAGGGUCAAGCCGCACAAAUGUUUUAUAUGUGUUACAUAGUAUAGGGUCAGCCCAAUUACUGGUAAUUCGUUCCCCUUUACAGUGUACUUGUUUAGAAGUAGCUUAUUUUGUACUGUAUAGGACUUUCAUUGAAAAAAGAUUUGACUAUACUAUACAACUGUAAGUGUCUCGAAAUAUCUAUCAUAGGAUGUGUGGAAUUUGUGUUUUGAAGGAGUGGGUAUGUGCAUAUUUUCUAGUCAAUGUAUGUCCAUGAAACCUUGUAAAGUUGUAAAUACACAUCACAUGUAUGUACAAAGUAUUUCAUUUUGUUAGAAUGUCGCAUGCUAGGUGCAUCUUUGUGUUGGUUUUCUGUGCUUCCUGAAAUAGGCUUGUGAUAAUUUUGUAUGUGAAAGACUACAAUAAAAACAUUUCAGAC